rnacentral:lncRNA from 1 species
GAAAGGCUUAAGGGGUAAAGUGGUUUUUAUGUGGAUUUUGAAGGGUAAGAUUUGAAAAGAAACUCACCUCUACAUUACCCAUAGCACUUAAACCUGGGAUUUGCAUACAGAGAGUCAAAUAAACAUUGAUCAGUUGAAUGAUGGAGGAGAAUAAGUCACCAGGGAAAGGCAAGACAUGGAGAGAGAGUUUCAGAUUGUUUAGGGGACAGUGAGGAGUCUGAGCUAACUAGCAGAAAGAUUUGGUUCCAGUUAGCAGAAGAAAGUCUGAAAGAACUAGAUAGUAUCAGAUGUUGGAAGCUCUGCAACGUUUUGUAUUACAGUUCAUCAAGAUUUGCGGCCCCUCCCUUCCCUCUUGAAGUCAGACUUGCUCAGGUGACUUAUUCUGGCCAAUUAAAUGUGAGAAGCUCAAUACAUCACUUUCUGGUGGAGACUUUAAGACCAGUGCAAGCUUUGCAUGCUCUUUUGCCCACAGUUCACCACGGCACACUGUGGUUCUCGAAUGGCUCCACUGACAGCCUGGAUCACCAAGUGAGAGGAUCCCCAACUGAGAAUGAUGACAACACAAGUGGACUAAACAUUGUUCAGGAAGUUCCUGGGUUGCUAUGACCAAGAUCUGGUUGCCACAGAACAAAGGAUCACAGCAUAUCAAUCAGUCCACCAGUUUUCUCUCUUCUUUGGGUGAUAAGAGCAGGCAGAGGACACAUCAUGUGCAUAAUGAGAAAAUAACCAGCAGGUAAGGGUGGGGGAAGGGGAGGCGAGAACAGGCAUAAAUGGAAUUCAAUCCUGGCUGCCAUGCUCAGGCUUAGAUUUAGCUAUUUUGUCUUCUCUGUAUUCACCCUCCACUUUCCUCAGCUCUCUGAUGAGAGAUGGGCUCAGAUGACUAUGGGCUGAGAAACUGGAAUAGUUAGCUCCGUACCUCCAGAAGCCAGGGGUGGUCGUCAGACCAGUCGGAUCCCCCCAGUGGGAGUCAACGUCUCAUCUAGGGCUAGCUCCGCAUACACAGCUUUAGGGCCCACAUUCGAGGCAUGGCCAGACCACACAGGAAUGGCAAGAAUCUGAUUCCCACUGUCCAUAGCCAGUUCUUCCUUUCAAUGAAGGAAAGGCAUGGGCCAUUUACUACCUCAGUAUACAUGGGCUCAAGAGCAUAUGCAACAGGAUCCUAUCCUUACAGUCCAGGACCACAAAUCUAACUCCAGCUAUGUCUGAACAGCCAGGGAAGGAAACGCUGUCCUACCCUGUGAUCCGGCAGCCAAAACCCCUGGAGAGUUCUUCAGCUCCCACCCUAUUUUGCAAGGGACCUACUCAGCUAUCCUAUGAGAUACUGUUCCCCAGAACUUCGUUUAUGGAAGGUCCGCCUUCCCUCUGAAGCAGGAGGAAAUGUAAGGUAAACGAGGCAAAGAAAGUAUCAACUGAAAUGAUACUGGACGACGGAUUAUUGGGUUUAUUACAACCAUCUUCUAAGCUGAGAGACAUUCCUCAGCAUUUUUCACAGGACCACAAAAAAUCAGGGCCCUGAAAAAUCGGAACAAAUCCCGGGCUCAGCGACCAACUGUGUGGCCCUCCUCAGAUUACGCAGAAGUGUUCAGGCCCUGGGCAGUAGGAGAAA